rnacentral:rRNA from 1 species
UACGUAGGGUGCAAGCGUUGUCCGGAAUUAUUGGGCGUAAAGAGCUCGUAGGCGGUUUGUUGCGUCGGGUGUGAAAGCCCCGGGCUCAACCUGGGAAUUGCAUUCGAGACUGAAUAGCUAGGGUGCGGUAGAGGGAAGCGGAAUUUCCGGUGUAGCGGUGAAAUGCGUAGAUAUCGGAAGGAACAUCAGUGGCGAAGGCGGCAUUCUGGACUGUAACUGACACUGAGGAACGAAAGCCAGGGGAGCAAACGGG